rnacentral:rRNA from 1 species
AUUGAACGCUGGCGGCAUGCUUUACACAUGCAAGUCGGACGGCAGCACAGAGAAGCUUGCUUCUUGGGUGGCGAGUGGCGAACGGGAGUGUAAUAUAUCGGAACGUACCGAGUAAUUGGGGAUAACUAAUCGAAAGAUUAGCUAUUACCGCAUAUUCUCUGAGCAGGAAAGCUGGGGACCUUCGGGCCUUUCGUUUUUCGAUCGUCCGUUAUCUAAUUAGCUAGUUGGUAGGGUAAAGGCCUACCACGUCCACGUUCAGUAGCGAGUUUGCGAGGAGAAUCGGCCACACGGAAAUGAGGCAAGGUCCCAACCCCCUACGGGAGGCAGCAUUGGGGAAUUUUGGACAAGGGCCUAAGGCCUGAGCCGGCAAUGCGGCGUGUCUGAGGAAGGCUUUCGGGUUGUAAAGGACUUUAGUAAGGAAAGAAAAGGCUGUUACUAAUAGCGAUAGCUGAUGACGGUACCUGAAGGAUAAGCACCGGCUAACUACGU